GGCUGGUGUGAUGGUAGUGGGUUAUCAGAAAUUACUAACAUUGGUGUCACUAAAGUUAGUAUACAACCCCCGACUGUUAAAUUUGACUGGCUUUUU
rnacentral:Y_RNA from 1 species